rnacentral:rRNA from 1 species
UGGGGAAUUUUGGACAAUGGGCGAAAGCCUGAUCCAGCCAUGCCGCGUGAGUGAAGAAGGCCUUCGGGUUGUAAAGCUCUUUCAGCCGGAAAGAAAUCGCGCAGGCUAAUACUCUGCGUGGAUGACGGUACCGGAAGAAUAAGCACCGGCUAACUACGUGCCAGCAGCCGCGGUAAUACGUAGGGUGCGAGCGUUAAUUGGAAUUACUGGGCGUAAAGCGUGCGCAGGCGGUCUUGUAAGACAGUCGUGAAAGCCCCGGGCUUAACCUGGGAACUGCGAUUGUGACUGCAAGGCUAGAGUGUGGCAGAGGGGGAUGGAAUUCCGCGUGUAGCAGUGAAAUGCGUAGAUAUGCGGAGGAACACCGAUGGCGAAGGCAAUCCCCUGGACCUGUACUGACGCUCAUGCACGAAAGCGUGGGGAGCAAACA